rnacentral:rRNA from 1 species
UACGGAGGAUGCAAGCGUUAUCCGGAAUGAUUGGGCGUAAAGCGUCCGCAGGUGGCAAUGUAAGUCUGCUGUCAAAGCGUCUGGCUCAACCAGAUAAAGGCAGUGGAAACUAUAUAGCUAGAGUAAGGUAGGGGUAGAGGGAAUUCCUGGUGUAGCGGUGAAAUGCGUAGAGAUCAGGAAGAACACCGGUGGCGAAAGCGCUCUGCUGGACCUUAACUGACACUGAGGGACGAAAGCUAGGGGAGCGAAUGGG